rnacentral:tRNA from 2 species
GCCGCAAUGGUGGAAUUGGUAGACACGAGGGACUUAAAAUCCCUUGACCAGUGAUGGUUGUGCGGGUUCGAGUCCCGCUCGCGGCA